CGCGUAGGCGGUGCUGUAAGUCUGUGGUGAAAUCUCUGGGCUCAACUCAGAGUCUGCCAUAGAAACUGCAGUGCUGGAGUGUGGGAGAGGUGAGUGGAAUUCCCGGUGUAGCGGUGAAAUGCGUAGAUAUCGGGAGGAACGCCUGUGGCGAAAGCGGCUCACUGGACCACAACUGACGCUGAGGCGCGAAAGCUAGGGGAGCAAACA
rnacentral:rRNA from 1 species